AUGCAAAUGUGUGUCCAUGCAGUAUUUAUGUGCAGCUGAGCUGAGUGGAGCAGUCGAGUCUCAUCAACACUCACCAUGAAGAUCUCACUCUCCUUAUUCCUGCUACUGAUCAGCUUCAUCACAGGUGUGAAAUGUCAAAGUCUUGAGUCGUUACAAACCUCAGUGCUGAAGAAACCUGGAGAAACACUGAGUCUCUCCUGCAGAGGAUCUGGGUUUACUUUUGGAAGCUACCAAAUGCACUGGAUCAGACAGCAGGAGAACAAACCACUGGUGUGGAUGGGACGUGUCUCUACUGAUGGCAGUGGCACUGGUUAUAGUAAAUCAUUUGAAGGAAGAAUAGAAAUCACCAGAGAUAAUUCCAACAGCAUGGCGUAUCUGAAACUCUCUGGUGUGACAGCAGAGGACACAGCUGUGUAUUACUGCGCACGAACCACAGUAGCAGAAAUAUGAGGAAACACUGUACAAAAACAUCAGUGGUGCAGCUGAUUCAUUACAUCUGCUGAAAACAUUUUUAAAGCCCAUCUUCUGUUUAAUAUUAAUGAUCCCUAAUCUACAAUAUUCCCUCACUUACUUCCUCAUGAUAGAUAAUGAGAGACACAUGAAUGAUUUUCAAAAAAAGAUUUCAAUCAAUUAAAAAUGAACCCUGAAUAUAGAAUAAACAUUUGGUUUGUAGUUAUAGGAAAUUAUGUGACUGUGACAUGUGACUUAAUGUUAACAUCCUGAAUUCACCCUCAUGUUCUUCAGUACCAUCACAUCCCAAAGUGCCUUAUUUUACAGCAAUUUACUGAUGUUUUACUUUUAUGAACACUUUAUACAUUUUAUUUAUUCACAGUUGAAUAUUGUUGAACAUCUGCAGAACAAGUGAGUUCCUGUUAUGACUUCUGUCACAGAAGCUGGUAACCGUUUUUUCACUCUCUGGUUCAUCUCAAUCUCAAAACUAAUUAGAAAAUAUGAAGCAGUUUGUGUUGCUGAGAAAUAAAAAAGUGCAACGUUCUCAGUCCUAUAGAAUUUUCUUUGUCAGAAAGCUGAUUUAAACUGGAGACUCCUUCCAU